UGGGGAAUAUUGGACAAUGGGCGAAAGCCUGAUCCAGCCAUGCCGCGUGUGUGAAGAAGGUCUUCGGAUUGUAAAGCACUUUAAGUUGGGAGGAAGGGCAUUAACCUAAUACGUUAGUGUUUUGACGUUACCGACAGAAUAAGCACCGGCUAACUCUGUGCCAGCAGCCGCGGUAAUACAGAGGGUGCAAGCGUUAAUCGGAAUUACUGGGCGUAAAGCGCGCGUAGGUGGUUUGUUAAGUUGGAUGUGAAAUCCCCUGGCCCAACCUGGGAACUGCAUUCAAAACUGACUGACUAGAUUAUGGUAGAGGGUGGUGGAAUUUCCUGUGUAGCGGUGAAAUGCGUAGAUAUAGGAAGGAACACCAGUGGCGAAGGCGACCACCUGGACUAAUACUGACACUGAGGUGCGAAAGCGUGGGGAGCAAACA
rnacentral:rRNA from 1 species